GACGAACGCUGGCGGCGUGCUUAACACAUGCAAGUCGAACGGAAAGGCCCUGCUUGCAGGGUACUCGAGUGGCGAACGGGUGAGUAACACGUGGGUGAUCUGCCCUUCACUUCGGGAUAAGCCUGGGAAACUGGGUCUAAUACCGGAUAGGAGCCAUUUUUAGUGUGAUGGUUGGAAAGUUUUUUCGGUGUAGGAUGAGCUCGCGGCCUAUCAGCUUGUUGGUGGGGUAAUGGCCUACCAAGGCGGCGACGGGUAGCCGGCCUGAGAGGGUGGACGGCCACAUUGGGACUGAGAUACGGCCCAGACUCCUACGGGAGGCAGCAGUGGGGAAUAUUGCACAAUGGGCGCAAGCCUGAUGCAGCGACGCCGCGUGGGGGAUGACGGCCUUCGGGUUGUAAACUCCUUUCGCUAGGGACGAAGCUUUUUGUGACGGUACCUAGAUAAGAAACACCGGCUAACUACGU
rnacentral:rRNA from 1 species